UACGUAGGGUCCAAGCGUUGUCCGGAUUUAUUGGGCGUAAAGAGCUCGUAGGCGGUUCCGUAAGUCGGAUGUGAAAACUCAGGGCUCAACCCGGAGACGCCAUCCGAUACUGCGGUGACUGGAGUCUGGUAGGGGAUCACGGAAUACCUGGUGUAGCGGCGAAAUGCGCAGAUAUCAGGUGGAACACCGAUGGCGAAGGCAGUGAUCUGGGCCAGUACUGACGCUGAGGAGCGAAAGCGUGGGGAGCAAACAGG
rnacentral:rRNA from 1 species